rnacentral:rRNA from 1 species
CCUUACGGGUGGCAGCAGUGGGGAAUAUUGCACAAUGGGGGAAACCCUGAUGCAGCGACGCCGCGUGAGUGAAGAAGUAAUUCGUUAUGUAAAGCUCUAUCAGCAGGGAAGAAAAUGACGGUACCUGAGUAAGAAGCCCCGGCUAACUACGUGCCAGCAGCCGCGGUAAUACGUAGGGGGCAAGCGUUAUCCGGAUUUACUGGGUGUAAAGGGAGCGCAGGCGGCACGGCAAGCCUGAUGUGAAAGCCCGCGGCCCAACCGCGGGACUGCAUUGGGAACUACCGGGCUGGAGUGCCGGAGAGGUAGGCGGAAUUCCUAGUGUAGCGGUGAAAUGCGUAGAUAUUAGGAGGAACACCAGUGGCGAAGGCGGCCUACUGGACGGUGACUGACGCUGAGGCUCGAAAGCGUGGGGAGCAAACAGGAUUAGAUACCCGGGUAGUC